ACUCCUGCGGGAGGCAGCAGUGGGGAAUUUUGGACAAUGGGCGAAAGCCUGAUCCAGCAAUGCCGCGUGUGUGAAGAAGGCCUUCGGGUUGUAAAGCACUUUUGUCCGGAAAGAAAUCCUUGGCUCUAAUACAGUCGGGGGAUGACGGUACCGGAAGAAUAAGCACCGGCUAACUACGUGCCAGCAGCCGCGGUAAUACGUAGGGUGCGAGCGUUAAUCGGAAUUACUGGGCGUAAAGCGUGCGCAGGCGGUUUGCUAAGACCGAUGUGAAAUCCCCGGGCUCAACCUGGGAACUGCAUUGGUGACUGGCAGGCUAGAGUAUGGCAGAGGGGGGUAGAAUUCCACGUGUAGCAGUGAAAUGCGUAGAGAUGUGGAGGAAUACCGAUGGCGAAGGCAGCCCCCUGGGCCAAUACUGACGCUCAUGCACGAAAGCGUGGGGAGCAAACAGGAUUAGAAACCCGAGUAGUCCCA
rnacentral:rRNA from 1 species